GUCUGGAUGGUGUAGUUGGUCAUCACGCUAGUCUCACACACUAGAGGUCCCCAGUUCAAACCUGGGUUCAGACA
rnacentral:tRNA from 1 species